rnacentral:rRNA from 1 species
UACGAAGGGGGCUAGCGUUGUUCGGAAUCACUGGGCGUAAAGCGCACGUAGGCGGAUCUUUAAGUCAGGGGUGAAAUCCCUGGGCUCAACCCAGGAACUGCGUCCGAUACUGGAAGGCUUGAAUCCGGGAGAGGGAUGCGGAAUUCCAGGUGUAGCGGUGAAAUGCGUAGAUAUCUGGAGGAACACCGGUGGCGAAGGCGGCAUCCUGGACCGGUAUUGACGCUGAGGCGCGAAAGCCAGGGGAGCAAACGGG